rnacentral:lncRNA from 1 species
GAAAGCCACACCGAAAUUACCUGCUACCAUCCAGGAUGCUGAGCAGACAAGGGUUUGUGGGAAUGGGGCGUGGCUAGGCGCCUAGGCACUUAUGGAUUCUCUUCUUUUCAGAACAGCCUUGCUGCCUGCAGGGGUGACUGAGGCCCUGAAGUCCAGAGCUUUGCUGAGUCGUCACUUGGGAGAGUAAAUCUCCAAUGGUCUGCCCGUGCAGUGAGCAUUGUAACCUGUAUCACUGUAAAUCUUAUUUGCAAGGCUGAUGGAUCAAUCAAUUGAAAGCUGAGCCCAGCAGGUGAGGGAAAACUCCCGUCUUUGUCAUGGCGCGUGUCCACUCCUCAAGGCCAUGGAGAUUCGGACCGAAGGGUUCCAGAGAUCGCGUGGUGAGGCCGUGUGGAGUUUGCCAUGCAGGGGAGCUCCCAGCACCAAGCAUCUGCCAGCAAAGAGCCCAACUUGAACCUUGGAAAACUGUGUCCUCUCUUCCCAAGUGUUCCACUGAGCCACUGACUUCUCCAGGAGUCAUUCAGAUUCUAAUCGUAACCCUUGAAGCAGCCAUUUCUUUCUGUGCUGUGGAAGCUGAACUUGCUAAAGCAGCUAGGAUUGGUCCCCUGGUGGUCUUGGCCAGUUCUUGGACAACGAGGCUAUAGCCAGGUCCUUAGGCAGAGUCUUGAGCCAGUACAGGUCCAUGCUUCCCAGCGGGGAUGGAUUUCUUUUCGGACAUACCUCGUAGAAACUGGUUUGUCUGGAGCUCCAUCACUUGUGCUAUACUGCCUGGGCAGAGGGAAAGACCACAGGGGAGGCGGUGGCUGUGCCGGGCAGGGAGACCUCACAGCUAUUGUGCUCCAUGGAACAGCCCAGGCCCUGCCAUCCUGCAUGGAUGUUUUGUUUAGUCAAGGCUGGCUGACCCCAAAGCGGGGAAUUAUUAUUGUAACAUGUGUUUGGUGGAAGGGCGAUGUUGGGAGACGGUGGGAGGGGAGAGGCGUCUUAUUGCUGUCUGGGUGGGUUGGAGCUGGUAGGAGCUUCUACCACUCUCCUCCGCUCUAUCUCCUUGUCCCGGGAUCCAUGCUGUUCCUCUAAGAGAAGCAAUGAAAGGUCAACCUCGGGCUGCUGAAAACACGCCCCCUUGAGGUUAUCCGACGGCCUAAGCUGUAUCCUAUGGGAUGGGAAAGGUGUGCUGUUGUCGGUGGGAUCAUCUGAAGGCUGACCCUUCAAGCGCCAGGGUAGCUAGCUGUGCAGCUAGCUCAGAGUUAAAACGAGCUCGGGAGAAGACAUAGGAAGCCAUUGUCUUGCUGGAUUUUCUGGCCCAUUAAGAAGUCUGGACUGUAACCUUGAAGACAGGAUGUGACCCCCACAUAAGUUCCUCACCUUGAUGACCCACAUGAAUCCAUCACAGUGCUCUCCAGCGCUCAUCUCUCACUGGGACUGAGAAUGAAAGAGUUGGUCUUUGAAUGUGUUCUCACCAUAGCCACAUAGGAAGAAUGUCGCAUCUGUUUGCCACCUCUCUGGCAGGUCCCCUGAAUCUGUAGGUCAGAGGGCAGGAAUCCACUUGCCAAUGCAUGUUAAGUACCAGGCUUUGUGCGUCUACACGCGGAGAAUGCCAGGCUGCCCCACAAGGUACCCUGCUGGUUGUAAAAGAUGGAAUUUGCUGUUGAAGUCACAGUUUGCAAUCUUGAUGUUCACGCCAGCCUCUGAGGGUUUGUCUGCCUUGAAGGCUGUCAGGACAGUGCACUUCUGGUGGCACAUUAGACACUACUGUUGGAAUUUGCUUCAGGCCUCUGUUUUCUCUCCCACUGCCACGAGGCACCGGGUACCCAAAUACCUCUCUUCCACUAGCAGGUUUCAUAACAAGGCUGAUUUCCCAGUGUCGAUCAUUUGGAUCACUCUUGUUGGGAUUGUUGGGGUCUUCAUGCAUCCUUAGCUCACAGGAUGUUCUCUGGAUGGUAGAGGCGUGCUUUGCAUUGAGGAUGCAAUGGGUGGACAUUGAGAAUGCUGGGUUAUCUUGGCUGAGGAUCUUCAGCAGCUGCCCGUGUGGGGUCUCUCUUUCUCUCAAGCAGAUAUGGCUGAGGGGCCCUGCAGCUUGUCCAGACCUGCCGGUGGGCCUCAGAGUCAAGGGCACAGGGUGGGGCGGGGAGGUGGGGAGAGUGAGCUUAAGUUUGAGAAAGGUGUGCACUUGUUUCAAGUCACCUCAGGUGAGAGCCGAAGGUUCACCUGGUGAAGUUAUCUUUAUAGUAGAAAUAAACGCACUGCUGGACCAAAAAAAAUUUUUUUAAAUAAUUUUCAAAGGAAAAAGUGAUUAAAAGAAAAGAAGUGAAAAGUAUAAAAGAUUAAAACUAGGGAGAGCUAAGAGGAGCAACAAACCAGACCCAGCCAGGACUCCCAGGGGAUUGUAAAAUGUUUGCGAUUGUAAAACGACAGUUUCAUAUAAAGUCACUUGCAUGGCAAGGCUGGGGUAGUCAGUAAUAGAAUUCUCAACUGGCCCCUUUGCUUAAAGGAAACUAUACAAGGUCCCAAAGGGCUUUUGUUUUUAUGUGGGUCCUGAUUACCAAUACUUACCUUAUUAGAAAUGACAACCUAUAAGAUUCUUCAAUGGCCUUCUCAUCUCUAGUUUGCACAGGGCUCGCAGUGUUUGGCUUUUUUUCCAGAGCUUUAUCAGAGCAACUUCGCUUAAGACUCUAAACUCGGGUUUCAGAGUGAUGCCGCCAUUUAACGGGCAUUGGGACAAAACGCCAGAGUAAGCCGUCACUUUAGUGUCAGCCUAAGCACGGAGAGGGUGGUCUCAGCCUGCUCAGUUGCUCUGGAGUAGAUUCUUGCUUCUGGAGAACUCUAGAACCUCCUGAGUCAGUCUCAGCAUCUUCAAUUAAAGCUAAGUGCAAAGGAUGGAAAUCUUGUUCCCUCAGCCGCCCAGGAGGCUACAAGACCUUGUGUCAUUAAAAAAAAAAAAAAAAAAAAAAAAAAAAAAAAAAGUCAGUAGAAAUGGUAUCUGUAAAUUGAGAAAAAAACAAAAUUUUUUUUGACUCAACAAUGUGUUUUGUUCCUAUCUCUCACUCAAGGUGGGACAGUGCAUCCAAGUGCUGACUCCUCACCAGGGCCCUUGGCUACUCUCGCAAUCAUUUUUAUUGACGUUUAAUAUUGAUGCUGGUUAGUACCAAGUGUCAGCACAUAGUCUGGUGACUAUUCACAAGUUGAGCUCACCUAAUUUAACUGGCAGGUGCGUCAAGUGUGACACCCACCAUGUGGCGUCCCAAGGUCCUUCUUCCUCAUCUCCUUCUCUGCAGUGGGUUCUCUUGCCUUGAGAAACGGCACUUGGUUGGUUUAGCUUAUUUUUAACAUUAGGCACGUAGAGUCACAAAUCGAGUAGUUUGUAUCUUGUAUUUGCUCAAUUUUGUCUUUCUUGGGGGGUGGGGGGGUGUUGGUGGCUUGAGGCCUGUAUGCCAUUUAUUAUUCUAAAUGUUAAUUGUGUGCCCCUUAAGUCUGACUAUUGGCCAUUUAAGUCAUUCUCACUUUCUGAAUGUUAAUCAUAGCCCUAAACAUUCUUAUACAUAAAAAGGCAUCCUUGUUGAAUAUAUACAUUUAGAAGAGAAAAUGACAGCGUGUGAGGAGUGAAUAUUCUAGUUUCAGUACAAAUGGUGGCGAUUUGUGCCGAUUGGCAUGGCUAUCUGUGUCCUGGGUCUGCUCCAAAGCUUCGUGUCGCCCCAGUUUAAGGCCUUCGCCUUUCUGUAGGGCUAAAGCAGUGCUUAACCUUGCAGCUUUCGUUGCUUUGGUGCCCAGUGGCCUUGAAGAGCAGCUUUCCAGGGGCCUGUUGUCCACUGUCUCUCCUGAGAAGCACCAGUUCAUAUCAGGCACUUAAAUCUCAUCUCAGUCAAGGCUUCCAUUUUCCAUGUGCAUUUUUACUUGGUCCUCUUCACUUGUUGGAUCAGGAGCAGGAGACACAGCACAGUGUGGCCACCCGCAGAGUGAGCAGUUGUCUUUAGAUGAUGUGUAGCCAUGUCCCUCUGGGGUAGAAGGAAGGUCCCUUAGAGCCCAGUCAGCUCUGGAAUUUGCAGCUCUCCUGCUUCAGCCUCCCAAGCAGCCGAGACCCACCAUUCCUGUGAGGUGAAGUCAGAUUGUUGACUGACUCCCUGAAAAGAAUUUCAGCAUAGGUCAAUAUGAAUCAAAGCUGGAAAUCAAAGCUGGAGCUUAUUAAGAAAAAGAUGUUAAUAUAGAUGUCAGUAUAGACAUUAAGAAAGAGGGGAAGAGAAAUGUGGAAGAAAAGGACAGUAGCCACGCCCCAAAUGGGUGGAGACUUCUAAAGAAAGAGUCAUUGGAACUGUCUUAACAGUGCUCUCUCUCUCUCUCUCUCUCUCUCUCUCUCUCUCUCUCUCUCUCUCUCUCUCACACACACACACACACACACACACACACACACACACACGAAUGACCUUGGUGGCCUCCAAAGUUGCACUGUUAAAAGAAUUUAAAAGAAUCAGUAGGAAUGUUUUGGUAUAUUAUCUAAGGAGCUAUCUUUGAAACUGGGUUCUCAAGGUGGUUUAUAAUGCAGUCAACACAGAAUAUAACCUCAACUCAAAUGGAACAAGAGAUAGCUUAUUCUGAGCCAGAUGUGAGUGGCUAUGUUUCAGAAACAGGGAUCCGUGUUGCUUAAAACAACACACUCUGAUGUGAAAAUGGUUGUGUUAAGGUUUACAGUCCUGAAAGUCAAGUCACAACGACGACGAUGAAGCAAGGCAUUUUUUUUUCAGAUCCACUGGUGGGAAUGCCCAGGAGGUGGGUAUAGAAAGGCAGGGUGACCUCUGCUCUAGGCUCUAGGCUUCGGGUGCUAUCAUGGACAUUUUCAGCCUUGAGAUCAGUGUCUGCUAAGGUCACACAGCCCAGAGGUUUUGCCUGACAGUCACAAGGUUAUGGCAUAGAUGCCAACGCAUGGCUGUUGAGGGAACCAGAGAAAGUCCAAGACAGUUUGGCUCUGGAUCUUCCAUAUUUAACUUUGCAUAGCCACAAAACUCUAACCAGCCAGCCAGCUUUGAGAAAUCUCUAGCCUAGGGGUGGGCUUUGUUUUGUUUUCUUCUGGGGACUUUACAUCACAGAACACCACACAGUUUUGCAAGCUGGGCAAGGCAGCACACUUGCCUGUAAUAUCAGGUGGAGGCAGAAGUGUCAGGCGUUCAAGGUUUUCCUGGCUGCAUAUCAUGUUGGAGGCUAUCCUACUCUGUGUGAAACUCUGUCUCAACAAACCUAAACCAGAAAUUGUCAAAGGAAGCCUUACUAUACAUGGGUGACAAGGAGGUCAGGUGUUAAGUGACUGGGAACACGGUUCCUCAAAUUGUUUGUGAAAUUGGAAGACAAUAGGGAUGAGGGGCUCCCUUCCCUCCUUAAGGCAUCAAUUAAUUUCCCUGUUGACAUUUCUAGCUUGCUUCUGUUGACUGGGAAUUCUUCACUGGAUAUGGGCCUGCAUGCAUUCCCUGUGUUCUCUGAAUUCUGCUGUUAAUCCUCUACCUGCUAGCUCACCCCUAGAUCAUCCCUUUCCCACAGUGAACUAACUUCUUGUCACUUGAAUAUGGCAGGCCCUUUCCCAUCUUGAAUUCUGUACUGGCUCCUAUUACUGCCGGGGACAGCCCUUCUCAGAUAUCCACACAGUUCUUCCCCUAACUCUUGGCUCCCAGAUCUACCUAUGUUUCCUCGCAAGACUCCUAGCAUACCUUAUGUACCGUCUCUGUCCAUCAAGUCCUUUUGUGAUUAAAAAAAAAAUUUGGAGACAGGCUCUUACUCUGUAACUAAGGCUGGCCUCAGACUUACGUAAUCCUCCUACAAGCUGCGCAGUGCAGGAUGAGUCACCGUGCCCAACUCUAACACUUUAUUUUAAGACAGGGACUCAUGUAGCACAGGCUGGCCCUGAAAUCCUCAUCCUUCUGUCGCUACAGCCCCAACAUAGUGUAGGUACAUGUCGCUGUGUCUCACUUCCGUUUCUAAAAAAACACAACUCUGUACUAAGAAAUAUUCAACAUUGCAUGAUUGUUGUUAAAAAUUAGAACGUGUGUCUGUUUUUACUCUUUCUCCAUACUCAGUUCAGCUGCUAUUUUUUAUCUCACUGUCUUUGUAAGGCACAAGAAGAUAAAAGGUAUGGAGUAAGGAAUUUGCACCUUAGACUUUCUUUCCUUCUUUUUUUGAUAGUAGUGGAUCUCCUCCUCCUUUUCCUCUUCCUCCCUUAACAUGUGGCCAAGGGCAGCUUUAAAACUUGCUACAAAGACCAAACCAUCCUUAAAUUCCCAAUCUUUCUGCCUCUACCUUUCUCAGAUGCUGAGAUUAUGGGCAUGUUCUACCUCAUCCAGCCUUAGUGACUUUAUUCUUUAUUCCCUCAGCCGUGGUGUUUAUGCUGAUGGUGAUUCAUGGUAGACCGGGUGACAUCAGCCAACCCUCGUGAGGUGCUGUUGGCUGAGUCUAACUAUAUGGACUCAGACUAUCAUUCAGAUACUAAGUCUUAAAAAGAAACGAACUCUCCAAAGGCUGAUGCCCAAGUAACACUCUCCACUUGACAAUACUUACUGCCGUUCUCUCUGUUGGGAGGGCAUGUUGUUCUGAGCGCAAGAAAAGCACACCACAUCUGAACCCUCACACAGUCUUAUGAUUCUUGCUUUGGUUAAUUUUGAUCUGUAUACUUUCCCUGAAAUAAAAGGCUACUGUGC